UAAUCUCACCUCUUUGGCUUUUUGUCGAUCAGUGUGGACUUGGAUGCUGUCGUGUAACAAACGGCUCGUCUGAAAUGCCUGAGUGUACCCUGCUUUGCGGCGUAUUCGGUGUGAUAAACAUCUUCACCGGAGUUGACUUUCGGGUCGCGCUUGUACUGAUUGGCUCUAUGCUUCUAACUGUCCUGACAAGACAAUCUUUGACA
rnacentral:misc_RNA from 2 species